CUGGCAACGUUCUUUGGUCAUGGUUAAACAGAUCAAACCGCGACCGUAUUUAGCCAUAAAGUUAAUCGCUUCAGGGGUAACAUGUUCAGCGGCCAUGAUCA
rnacentral:antisense_RNA from 1 species